rnacentral:tRNA from 1 species
GAGCUUAUAGCUCAGUGGCAGAGUGCGUGCCUGGCACAUAUGAGCUCCUGGGUUCAAUCCCCAGUACCUCCA